rnacentral:rRNA from 1 species
AACUCGAUAAUCCACGCAUACUCAACCCUCUCUUGAUAUUUACAGCAUGUGUACUGCCGUUGUAAGUAUACCUCUAAAAGCCCAAGUAUACAACUAUGGUUGUAUAGCCCAUAUACAUCAGGUCAAAGUGCAGCCAAUAAGAGGGUGAUGAUGGGUUACAACCCCCAAAAAGACUAUCAACUAAGAAAUAAAAAAUCUUACGAAAGUGGACUUGGUCGUAAUCAAUUUACAAGUUAAAAAAAUGAAUAAAACUCUAAGACAUGCACACAUCGCCCGUCACUCUACCCCAAAGGCUAGAUAAGUCGUAACAAAGUAGGUGUAAUGGAAAUUGCACCUGUCGGAAUAUAGCAUAUAAAAUGCUUUUUACUUACACUAAAAAAAAAGUUAGAUAACUUGUUUCGCCCAAAGAUAUAAACCCUAUAAUAAGUAAAUAAUAUAAACACCUAAACAAAUUAUACUAGUAAAUUAGAGUACAUAAAUGGAAAAAAUUAAUAAAUUAAAGUAAGUGUUAAAAAAUGUACCUUGUGCAUUAUGGUUUUACAAGAAAGAAAUUAAAACACCUAUCCCGAAUUCUAGAUGAGAUGUUAAGCUACUGUCAAGAACCCACUAGUAACUGUAGAAAAAGUUUUAAAAGAUAGCUUAACAGAGGCUACAUACCACACGCAUAAGAAUAUAGCUGGUCUUCAACAAAAAUUAUACAUUAAGCCAUAUAGUUAAACUAUAUUGUAAUAUUAUUGAGGAUAAGCCCAAUAAAUUAAGCAAUAAAUCACCUAAGUCCGUAUAUACACAUAGGCCUAAAAUCAGCCAAUAAAAAUACUUUACCGUAAAUAGUGGGGACACAAUUAAUAUUUAUACUAAUGCCUAACAAAGUUGAAAUAGUGGGUAAACUAACUCCCCCACUUAUAAUAUGUAAAAAUAAGUAUUAAAAAACUAAAAUAGUAUUAGCCAGUAAAAGAAAACUGAAUAAUAGACAAUAACUAAUUAAGGAACUCGGCAACUCUUUAUUUCGACUGUUUAACAAAAACAUUGUCUCAUGUAUAAAAAUAUAAGAUAAGACCUGCCCAG